rnacentral:rRNA from 1 species
UGCACAGGUGCUGCAUGGCUGUCGUCAGCUCGUGCCGUGAGGUGUAUGGUUAAGUCCCGCAACGAGCGCAACCCCUGCCCUAGUGCUAACCGCGAGGGUGCACUCUAGGGGGACUGCCUCCGUCAAGGAGGAGGAGGGUGGGGAUGAUGUCAAGUCAUCGAUGGUCCUUAUGCCCAGGGCUACACACGUCCUACAGUGGCCGUUACAAUGGGAAGCUGCAUCGCGAGGUGAUGCCAAUCCUGUAAAAGCGGCCAUGGUUCGGAUUGCAGGCUGCAACUCGCCUGCAUGAAGAUGGAAUCGCUAGUAAUCACUGAUCAGCAUGCAGUGGUGAAUACGUUCCCGGGUCUU